UGACCUAUGGUGUAAUGGUAGCACAGCAGAUUUUGGUUCUGUCGGUCAAGGUUCGAAUCCUUGUAGGUCAACAA
rnacentral:tRNA from 1 species